GUUCUUUUAAGUUUGUAGUUUUGUACAUAAUUGAUUUCGUUAAAUAUGAUUAAAACGGUAUAUUAUUAGUAUAGUUUCAUUUGAAUAAAAUGAUAUGAGACAUUGAGAUAUUUGUAUUUGAAUGCAAGUUAGAUGACGUUUGACCAUUUCAUUUAUAGCUACUUCGUUAUAGUGUACCUGUUUGACCUGUCAUCAAACGAAUCCUUUAGAGUGAACUAAAAAUUAUGAACGAUGACAACUACGAAAACCUAACUCAACAUUUAAGUGAACGUUUGUAUCUUCAAAUAUGUGAAAAUAGAAUUAAUAGCUUAUAUAAAGAACAAGUAAAGAAAGCAAGAUAAAUCACAUAUUACUAAUACUCUAGACUGAUUUAAGGUUCAGAAAGAUAUAACAAACUCACAAGACUGAAAGAAGAUAUAUGAAAACUUGAAUUAAAACAAUCGGUUCCUUUCAAGUCGUUAGAAAAAACGGUUAUACCUUUCUUAGAGCUGUUGCAAGCUCACCACGCAUGAAAUUUGCAGCAGCCUUGGUAGUCAAUGGGAUUCCGUUUCGGUACUCCUCAAAGUGA
rnacentral:lncRNA from 1 species